rnacentral:antisense_RNA from 1 species
AUCAAUGGUGGCUCUGGCGGGGCAGCCUUCGGGCUGGCCGGUUUCCGAUAACGCCGGUACUGCAAACUCCGUCUGGGCCACCACCAAU